UACGGGGGGGGCAAGCGUUGUUCGGAAUUACUGGGCGUAAAGGGCUCGUAGGCGGCCAACUAAGUCAGACGUGAAAUCCCUCGGCUUAACCGGGGAACUGCGUCUGAUACUGGAUGGCUUGAGAUUGGGAGAGGGAUGCGGAAUUCCAGGUGUAGCGGUGAAAUGCGUAGAUAUCAGGAGGAACACCGGUGGCGAAGGCGGAUCUCUGGGCCUUACCUGACGCUCAGGUGCGAAAGCUAGGGGAGCGAACAGG
rnacentral:rRNA from 1 species